rnacentral:rRNA from 1 species
CUGUGCUCCUUUGACGUUAGCGGCGGACGGGUGAGUAACACGUGGGCAACCUACCCUAUAGUUUGGGAUAACUCCGGGAAACCGGGGCUAAUACCGAAUAAUUUAUUUCACCUCAUGGUGAAAUACUGAAAGACGGUUUCGGCUGUCGCUAUAGGAUGGGCCCGCGGCGCAUUAGCUAGUUGGUGAGGUAACGGCUCACCAAGGCGACGAUGCGUAGCCGACCUGAGAGGGUGAUCGGCCACACUGGGACUGAGACACGGCCCAGACUCCUACGGGAGGCAGCAGUAGGGAAUCUUCCACAAUGGGCGAAAGCCUGAUGGAGCAACGCCGCGUGAGUGAAGAAGGAUUUCGGUUCGUAAAACUCUGUUGUAAGGGAAGAACAAGUACAGUAGUAACUGGCUGUACCUUGACGGUACCUUAUUAGAAAGCCACGGCUAACUACGUGCCAGCAGCCGCGGUAAUACGUAGGUGGCAAGCGUUGUCCGGAAUUAUUGGGCGUAAAGCGCGCGCAGGUGGUUUCUUAAGUCUGAUGUGAAAGCCCACGGCUCAACCGUGGAGGGUCAUUGGAAACUGGGAGACUUGAGUGCAGAAGAGGAUA